UUAGUCAAUUUUAAGUACAUUUUGCUGAAUGACAACAAUAGCAGAAAUACUAAAAGUCAAAAGCAGAUAUUCCUCCAUGGAAUUUUAUAGUUUUCUACGCAGUGUGAUUGUGUUUUGUAAUUUAUUUUUCUCUUCUUUCUAAUUAGGUUUAUUGGGAAUAAUAUAAGCAAGUAUCGAAUAUGCCGGAUUUUUCAGUUAUUACACACUGUCCCUUAAAGAUAAUUUUUGCUAUCCACUUCUUCCUCGUCUCAUGGGGCCUCCAAGGAUUCUUAUUUUCGCAAUCAAUGAUAUUUUACAAUGUUCUAUUUUUUAUGUGUCUUUUUUGGGCUAUUCACAAUACAGAAACAGAUGAAUCCCUACAGUUUGCCUUGUUUAUUAACGUACUUUCCAUAUUAUUUGACGUGGUGGCAUUAGUCGUUUACUUUCCAAGUGGUACCUAUGAAAAAUUCUGCGCAGUAGGUAUCAUCUUCAACACCUGUGCGCGAGUAUUUUCCUCAAUAUUCCUUCUACGAAUUGGUAGAGCAAGAGGUGGACCUUUGGCGAUGAUGUUCCCUUCGGAUCCGGCAAUGGGUAACGAAAGACCAUUCAAUUAAUCAAAAGCUUUUGCCAUAGAAAUUUUUUAACACCUGUUUACUUCGAAUUAUGUUUUGGAAGACAAGACUAUGAAGACAUAUCGAAUCCAAUGCCUAAUAAUUCCGAUUUCGUUGGAAUUUAAAGUAAGUAUCAACAAAAAAGAUAUAUUUAAAAUCAAAAGUUGUCAAAAUUUAUUUUUUUAUCAGGAAAAAAAUUCGUAGCAAAAAAGAUCUAUUUUGUAAAAUGUACAAUAUUCUUUGGAGUUAAUUUAAUGAAUUGUUAAUCAACAAUUAAAGGGAAAAGUUGAUAGAGUCUAUAGAAUGUUAAAAAAAGAUUUUUGCAAAGAAAUGAUAUUAGUCCACAUUAUAGUUACUAUUAAGAAUUCAAUUAGAAAUAUAAGUUAUUAUGAAUGAGAUUAUUUACUAAAGAUCGGACUAAACUUACUAAAAGCGUAAAAAAGACAGUUGCUGAUCCCAUAGAAUUUAAUAAUGUUAUACUAUUUAUUAAAGCUUAUAUAUUUAGUUAAUAAUUUUCAUUCAUCAAGCGAGUACAUAAUAGGAAUACUAAAUUAUUGUCAUUAUUAUUCACAAACUUGUAAAUUUUAUUUAAACAAAUAUUUGUUUAUGUAUUUGUGAAAUGAACAUGUUUUUACGCCAUAUUCAAACUUAAUUAUAAUGCGUUUUUAUUUUUUGCAAAAUAUUUAAUGCAAAUAGAAUCUUGUGAUAUAAUAAAAUGUGUACAGUUGUGUA